rnacentral:rRNA from 1 species
AUGGUGCAAGGAAAAUUGUUUUGGGCGGCAAAACUUCGAGAAAUAAAAGAAUGGGAAGCCCCAGAGUCAAAUAAAAUUACUGCAGCAAUGAACACUUUGUCCACCAGAGUUUGGAAAUCGGUGAAAUCAAACAUAUUAAGAGCACACCGAAGUUGUGGGUUUAAACCUCCAAGAAAUCUGUUAAUCUUCCUUUCUUCAGUGGCCACGUCAUACAGAGAGUAA